GUUGUUGGACAAGACAGUACCCCUUGGUCCCCUUCCCCUCACCAUUCUCUCAGCAUGAGGUCUGAAACUUGUUUUUUGAUCAUUGUUUCAUCCCCCCCUCCAAUUUCUCCCUCCUCGGGGCAGAAAAGGAGCCAAGUAGGAGGGAGACUGGGAAACCAGGAGCAGCCAGAGCAAAAAGGAAGGGAAGAGGCGCUAAGCAAUAUGAAGAAAGCGUAGUGUUUAACAAUAUCUAGAUACCAAGCGGUGCGUAGGACAGGUCACAUGCUGAAUGUUUGUGGGGCGCAACUGUAGGACGCUUAGAGCAGGGUGAGGGUAUGGGUGGCACAGCAGAGCUGCAGUGAGAGGCUGAGGUCUUGCAUCCGGGGAGCGCUGAGCUGUGGAGUGAAGAUGCGAGUCGGUGCCUGGCUCCUCUGGGUGUGCUGGUUCUGCACCUGCGCAGAAUACUCCCAGCGGUGCAAGUGCCAAGACAUCUGUCCAACGGAGCCAGAAGUGAACAAGAGGUCAAAGAUUCGGGUCAAGGAGCAUGUUCGUCACGGUGUGGGACAUCAGCAUACUCCUCACAGGAACAGGCCACACCGUAGAAAAGCCUAAAAGAGGUCCCUUCCCUCGGCACAUCUCAGCCCAGCACCAUUCCCAUGGGUUGUGUUUUAGCAGGGGACUCAUCCUUCAUCCUCUCUAAAGCCUUUGUUGCAGACUGAAAGCUGGCCGAUGCCGGGGCCAUCAAGCCCAAGUUGUUGGAUCAAUAUAAACAUCCAUCACUUAGCCCCGGGCCUUUCUGCGCCUCACAAUGAACAGUUCAGUACACAAUACUUUAUUUAUGUGUGCCAUCAGAGGGAAUGAACUCGAGGUAGUUCACUUACUUGUGGGUCGGACUCGCUGUGGAAGCCUGGAAGUAACUCAGCUAUGGGUGUGUUUUUAUCCUUCCUGAAAAAUGCUUUUGAACUAAACCGCAUCACCUUUUAUACUUCCUUGUAUCUGACUGUAGAUAAAGUGGAACUUAUUCCUGUAUCACACAAGUAAAAAGUCUACUUUUUUUUCUUUU
ensembl:lncRNA